rnacentral:tRNA from 1 species
ACUUACAUAGCUUAUAAGAGAGCAUUGCAUUGAAGCUGCAAAGGAAACAGGUAAUGUUUGUGAGUG